rnacentral:rRNA from 1 species
AUUGAACGCUGGCGGCAUGCCUUACACAUGCAAGUCGAACGGUAACGCGGGGCAACCUGGCGACGAGUGGCGAACGGGUGAGUAAUGCAUCGGAACGUGCCUGGUAGUGGGGGAUAACUGCUCGAAAGAGCAGCUAAUACCGCAUACGACCUGAGGGUGAAAGGGGGGGAUCGCAAGACCUCUCGCUAUCAGAGCGGCCGAUGUCGGAUUAGCUAGUUGGUGGGGUAAAGGCCCACCAAGGCGACGAUCCGUAGCUGGUCUGAGAGGACGACCAGCCACACUGGGACUGAGACACGGCCCAGACUCCUACGGGAGGCAGCAGUGGGGAAUUUUGGACAAUGGACGCAAGUCUGAUCCAGCCAUGCCGCGUGCGGGAAGAAGGCCUUCGGGUUGUAAACCGCUUUUGUCAGGGAAGAAAUCUUCUGGGUUAAUACCUCGGGAGGAUGACGGUACCUGAAGAAUAAGCACCGGCUAACUACGAGCCAGCCGCCGCCGUAA